rnacentral:rRNA from 1 species
GGAUCGUAAAACUCUGUUGUUAGAGAAGAACAAGGAUGAGAGUAACUGUUCAUCCCUUGACGGUAUCUAACCAGAAAGCCACGGCUAACUACGUGCCAGCAGCCGCGGUAAUACGUAGGUGGCAAGCGUUGUCCGGAUUUAUUGGGCGUAAAGCGAGCGCAGGCGGUUUCUUAAGUCUGAUGUGAAAGCCCCCGGCUCAACCGGGGAGGGUCAUUGGAAACUGGGAGACUUGAGUGCAGAAGAGGAGAGUGGAAUUCCAUGUGUAGCGGUGAAAUGCGUAGAUAUAUGGAGGAACACCAGUGGCGAAGGCGGCUCUCUGGUCUGUAACUGACGCUGAGGCUCGAAAGCGUGGGGAGCAAACAGGAUUAGAUACCCUGGUAGUCCACGCCGUAAACGAUGAGUGCUAAGUGUUGGAGGGUUUCCGCCCUUCAGUGCUGCAGCUAACGCAUUAAGCACUCCGCCUGGGGAGUACGACCGC